GACAGAGGAUGCAAGCGUUAUCCGGAAUGAUUGGGCGUAAAGCGUCUGUAGGUGGCUUUUAAGUCCGCCGUCAAAUCCCAGGGCUCAACCCUGGACAGGCGGUGGAAACUACCAAGCUGGAGUACGGUAGGGGCAGAGGGAAUUCCGGUGGAGCGGUGAAAUGCGUAGAGAUCCGGAAGAGCACCGGAGGCGAAGGCGGCUUGCUGGGCGUGAUCUGACGCUGAGGCGCGAAAGCGUGGGGAUCAAACAGG
rnacentral:rRNA from 1 species